rnacentral:rRNA from 1 species
UACGUAGGGUGCAAGCGUUGUCCGGAAUUAUUGGGCGUAAAGAGCUCGUAGGCGGUUUGUCGCGUCUGCUGUGAAAAUCCAGGGCUUAACCCUGGACCUGCAGUGGUACGGGCAGACUAGAGUGCGGUAGGGGAGAUCGGAAUUCCUGGUGUAGCGGUGAAAUGCGCAGAUAUCAGGAGGAACACCGGUGGCGAAGGCGGAUCUCUGGACAGUUCCUGACGCUGAGGCACGAAGGUCAGGGGAGCAAACGGG